GGCAAGGUGGCUUAGUGGUUAGCACGUUUGGCUCAUGCCUCUGGGAUUGGGGGUUAAAAUCCUCUCUCUGUCC